AUUGAACGCUGGCGGCAUGCCUUACACAUGCAAGUCGAACGGCAGCACGGGAGCAAUCCUGGUGGCGAGUGGCGAACGGGUGAGUAAUAUAUCGGAACGUGCCCAGUCGUGGGGAUAACGCAGCGAAAGCUGUGCUAAUACCGCAUACGAUCUCUGGAUGAAAGCGGGGACUCGCAAGGGCCUCGCGCGAUUGGAGCGGCCGAUAUCAGAUUAGCUAGUUGGCGGGGUAAAGGCCCACCAAGGCGACGAUCUGUAGCUGGUCUGAGAGGACGACCAGCCACACUGGAACUGAGACACGGUCCAGGCUCCUACGGGAGGCAGCAGUGGGGAAUUUUGGACAAUGGGGCAACCCUGAUCCAGCCAUGCCGCGUGCGGGAAGAAGGCCUGGUUGUAACGU
rnacentral:rRNA from 1 species